CCAGUCCCCAUCCCGGGUCCACGGUGCUGCUGCGGGGGAGGCUGACGCAUCAUCCGCCCCCGGGAAUCCCCCACCUCCCUUCUAGGACCUCAGACUCGCCAGGGCGGGGCAGAGUGAAGGCUGUGUGCCCGUGCUUGCUGUCUCCGUUUCUGCGUACCAGCUGUGACGUACUUCGAGACAGGAACUUGCUUGGCCUGGAAACCAGGAAAAUCAAUCAGAAUGAUUCAAAAGCACCUGCCUACUCUGAACAUGGCUGAAUACAGAUACCGUGGCCAUCUCGGACAGAUGGGGCUUGUCACACUGAGGUUCACAUAUGGUCAAGAGUUAAGAUGUAUAGGGUGGAGGCUAUAGCCUGGCUCUGAAAACAUUCCUAAGGUCCAGGUGUCAAAGGCUCAUUCUUUCAAAUGGAGCUACAGGGAGGAGGUGGAGGUCGUGCUCAGCGGGAGCUCUUCAGGAACAUGCACUUGACUGCAACCUUUUUUCUCUGCCACAUUCUCUGCAGCAAUGCGCUGCUACACCACAGGCCCUAAAACAACAGCACCGAUUACAAUGAACUACAACCUCCACAGCAAUGAGACAAAAUAAAUCUACUUUUUAAAGUUUA